rnacentral:rRNA from 1 species
AACCUAGUCUUUUGACAGUGGAUUGUAAUUAGUGCAAUUUAACACACUGCACGAGGAACAAUUGGAGGGCAAGUCUGGUGCCAGCGGCCGCGGUAAUUCCAGCUCCAAUAGCGUAUAUUAAAGUUGUUGCAGCUAAAAAGCUCGUAGUUGAAUUUCUAAUUAGUUAAUUUGGAAUUUUUUUCACUUUAGCUAAUUAUUCGACACUGAACCAUGACGGUUAUUAAGUUAAUCCCAUGGAGAAUUGUCACUUUACUUUGAAAAAAUUAGAGUGUUUCAGGCAGGCAUUUGCCCGAAUAUCUUAGCAUGGAAUAAUGGAAUAGGACUUUGGUUCAUUUUAUUGGUUAUUGAAUCAGAGUAAUGAUUAAUAGGGACAGUUGGGGGCAUUAGUAUUUAAUUGUCAGAGGUGAAAUUCUUGGAUUUAUUAAAGACUAACUUAUGCGAAAGCAUUUGCCAAGGAUGUUUUCAUUAAUCAAGAACGAAAGUUAGGGGAUCAAGGACGAUCAGAUACCGUCCUAGUCUUGACUAUAAACUAUACCGACUCAGGAUUGGCCAUGUUUCAACUUGGCCAGCACUGUAUGAGAAAUUAAAGUCUUUGGGUUCUGGGGGGAGUAUGGUCGCAAGGCUGAAACUUAAAGGAAUUGACGGAAGGGCACCACCAGGAGUGGAGCCUGCGGCUUAAUUUGACAACACGGGGAAACUUACCAAGGCCAAACAGAGGUGGGAUUGACAGAUUGAGAGCUCUUUCUUGAUUCUUUGGGUGGUGGUGCAUGGCCGUUCUUAGUUGGUGGAGUGAUUUGUCUGGUUAAUUCCGUUAACGAACGAGACCUUAACCUGCUAACUAGUUUAUAUUCUCACAGAGUAUAAUACUUCUUAGAGGGACUAUAUGUGUAAAGCAUAUGGAAGUUUGAGGCAAUAACAGGUCUGUGAUGCCCUUAGAUGCCUUGGGCCGCACGUGCGCUACAAUGACAUGCUCAGCAAGUUCUAUCCUGAUUUGGAAAAAUUUGGGUAAUCUUUUUAGGACAUGUCGUGUUAGGGAUCGAUCUUUGGAAUUAUAGAUCUUGAACGAGGAAUUCCUAGUAAGUGCAAGUCAUCAGCUUGUACUGAUUACGUCCCUGCCCUUUGUACACACCGCCCGUCGCUGCUACCGAUUUCGAGUGGUCCGGUGAACCACAUGGACUAUUUCAGGCAACUGAAUUGGAAGUGUAGUAAACCUUAUCACUUAGAGGAAGCAGAAGUCGUA